rnacentral:rRNA from 2 species
GAGUUUGAUCCUGGCUCAGAACGAACGCUAGCUAUAUGCUUAACACAUGACAAGUCGAACGUUGCUUCCGUGCUUCCCGGGCAGAAGGGUAAUGUUGGCCAUGAAGAGAAGCGCCGGGGGAUUUCUGCGCGGUUCAAUUACUAUUAUUAGGGCGCUGAAAUCGAGAAUAUACGGGGCUCUCGCUCCCCGAGUAGGGAACAGUUGAGAACAAAGUGGCGAACGGGUGCGUAACGCGUGGGAAUCUGCCGAACAGUUCGGGCCAAAUCCUGAAUUCCCAUUCCGCGGGUGGGAAUGAAAGCUCAAAAGCGCUGUUCGAUGAGCCCGCGUAGUAUUAGGUAGUUGGUUAGGUAAAGGCUGACCAAGCCGAUGAUGCUCAGCUGGUCUUUCCGGAUGAUCAGCCACACUGCCGACU